rnacentral:tRNA from 1 species
UUAUAUGUAAUGGAUUUAAACCCCAUUUAUAA